rnacentral:pre_miRNA from 1 species
UCUGAUGGAUGAGCAAAGAAAGUGGUUUCCUGAGAUGGAAUCCAGUUCUGGUGAAGAUGCUGUGGA